rnacentral:lncRNA from 1 species
CGCAGCGAGAAACUCCCGUAUUAGGAGGCGUGUUUUAGCUUUUUGGUCCCUUAACAAACUUUAUACUAGUUUAGUUGUAAUGGACGUCAUACUAAACUCCGAAACAUACAAAAGAAACCAAAUUUAAAAAUCAUACAAGACUAACAAGGGCUAUUGGCUCCUGACUUGGAACAGACGCAAACACUCGCUGCGGUGAACAUGUUUUCUGAGAUCCCAACCAUCGUCUAUACCUCAAGCCAAUGUAGAAAAAACUCACAACAAUACGCACAGUAAAUCUCAGUUAAAAUAAAUCCUAGACCGAUGUCAAAUAGGUAACAAAAGAAACUUAACAAAAU